rnacentral:rRNA from 1 species
AGAGUUUGAUCCUGGCUCAGAACGAACGCUGGCGGCGUGCCUAACACAUGCAAGUCCAACGUGAAAGGGGAGCAAUCCCCCGGUAGGGUGGCAAACGGGUGAGUAAGACAUGGGUGAUCUACCUUAGGGAUGGGGAUAUCCUUCCGAAAGGAGGGGCAAUACCGAAUAUUGUCCGGGACCAUGAAGGGUUCCGGGGAAAGGGAGGCCUCUGAUACAAGCUUUCGCCUUAAGAUGAGCCCAUGGCCCAUCAGCUAGUUGGUAGGGUAACGGCCUACCAAGGCAAAGACGGGUAGCUGGUCUGAGAGGAUGAUCAGCCACACUGGGACUGAGACACGGCCCAGACUCCUACGGGAGGCGAC